UCCACACAGUAAACGAUAAGCACUAGAUGUUGGGGGAUAAUAUCCUUCAGUGUCGCAGCUAACGCGUUAAGUGCUUCGCCUGGGGAGUACGAUCGCAAGAUUAAAACUCAAAGGAAUUGACGGGGGCCCGCACAAGCGGUGGAGCAUGUGGUUUAAUUCGAUGCAACGCGAAGAACCUUACCUGGACUUGACAUCCUGCGGCGACUGUAGAGAUACGG
rnacentral:rRNA from 1 species